rnacentral:tRNA from 1 species
AGGGAAAUAGCUCAGUGGUAGAGCGCUGCUUAGCAUGCAUGAGGUCCUGGGUUCAAUCCCUAGUAUCUCCA